GAAUCCCCGCACCAAAUCAGUCGAGGUUCAGACGAAUCCAUCCCCCUUCCUCCACGUACCCCACCUACGGUAAGCCCUCGAUGGCUCGAUCCAACUGGCCGAGCGGAGCGGGGAAUGCGCUCGUUUUUUCCCCAUGAAACUUCGAUCGCCGCCGGGGGAACCAGCGCCGGAUGCCUACUGAUUCCACUAGUGUCAUAUACUCUGUUUGCCUCUGGAUUGAAUACUGGAGUUGGUUUGCAGGUGCUGCAGAUUGUCCCUGACAAGACGCGUUACAGAACAGCCCUAGGGUCUUGAAGAUGGUUGCCUCGGAGGUUUCCAGAAGAGAUAAAGGAUGUAACCUGACAAGAUGAACUGCAGAGUAGUUUUGGGCCUGCUCUGGGACUGUAUGAUGCUAGUUCUUUUCAGUCUUACCUGCUGCUUUCCGCUGACCGUGCAAACAGUUAGGAUCUGUGUGUCCUAACUCCUAAGUCUGCAUCUGGAUGCUGGGCUUAAACUUCCGCACCUUCCUUUGUCUUUAGUUUUUGUUGGGUAUUGUACUCUCUCAAGGUUCGUCAAUGAAUCUGUAUGCAGGCCCUUUUA